UGGCCAACCGAAGGAACUUUCUGCCUCCCUAUAAUUGCUAAGCCCACCUGGGAUGACUGUCAGCAGCUCCUCCGCAUCCUGUUCACUACAGAGGAGCGAGAGAGGAUCCAAUUAGAAGCAAGAAAGCUGGUUCCCGGAGAUGACGGUCGGCCGACAUCUAACCCUGACCUCAUUAAUGCGGCUUUCCCCCUAACCAGACCUCCACAGGACGAAUGGGACUACAACACGCCAGAAGGUAGGGGAAGGCUACUCAUUUAUCGCCAGACUCUGAUGGCGGGUCUCCGGGCUGCAGCUCGCAAGCCCACCAAUUUGGC